rnacentral:tRNA from 3 species
GGCCAGGUAGCUCAGUCGGUAGAGCAGAGGACUGAAAAUCCUCGUGUCGGCAGUUCGAUUCUGUCCCUGGCCA